GGGGGCCCGCACAAGCGGCGGAGCAUGCGGAUUAAUUCGAUGCAACGCGAAGAACCUUACCAAGGCUCGACAUGGACCGGACCGGGCUGGAAACAGUCCUUCCCCUUUGGGGCCGGUUCACAGGUGGUGCAUGGUUGUCGUCAGCUCGUGUCGUGAGAUGUUGGGUUAAGUCCCGCAACGAGCGCAACCCUCGUUCCAUGUUGCCAGCGCGUAAUGGCGGGGACUCAUGGGAGACUGCCGGGGUCAACUCGGAGGAAGGUGGGGACGACGUCAAAUCAUCAUGCCCCUUAUGUCUUGGGCUUCACGCAUGCUACAAUGGCCGGUACAAAGGGUUGCGAUACUGUGAGGUGGAGCUAAUCCCAAAAAGCCGGUCUCAGUUCGGAUUGGGGUCUGCAACUCGACCCCAUGAAGUCGGAGUCGCUAGUAAUCGCAGAUCAGCAACGCUGCGGUGAAUACGUUCCCGGGCCUUGUACACACCGCCCGUCAAGUCACGAAAGUUAGUAACACCCGAAGCCGGUGGCCUAACCCCUUGUGG
rnacentral:rRNA from 1 species